rnacentral:rRNA from 1 species
UAGUCCACGCCGUAAACGAUGGUUACUAGCUGUUUGGUUUUCGGACUGAGUGGCUAAGCGAAAGUGAUAAGUAACCCACCUGGGGAGUACGAUCGCAAGAUUGAAACUCAAAGGAAUUGACGGGGGCCCGCACAAGCGGUGGAGCAUGUGGUUUAAUUCGAUGAUACGCGAGGAACCUUACCAGGGCUUAAAUGUAGUAUGACAGGGGGCAGAGACGCCUUUUUCUUCGGACAUAUUACAAGGUGCUGCAUGGUUGUCGUCAGCUCGUGCCGUGAGGUGUCAGGUUAAGUCCUAUAACGAGCGCAACCCCUGUUGUUAGUUGCCAGCAUGUAAAGAUGGGAACUCUAACAAGACUGCCGGUGCAAACCGUGAGGAAGGUGGGGAUGACGUCAAAUCAUCACGGGCCCUUACGUCCUGGGGCUACACACGUGCUACAAUGGUAGGGGACAGAGAGCAGCCACUUCGCGAGAAGGGAGCGAAUCUAUAAACCCUAUCACAGUUCGGGAUCGGGAGU